rnacentral:lncRNA from 10 species
GGUUUCUUUUACUGGCAAAUAGUACUUCAAGAGCACAGUCUUAUGUAAGCCUGAACUGAAAUUAUCAAGGCUACAGUUCUUCUUGUGGGUCUGCAAAUGUGUGUGGCUGGGAGGUGGCAGAAUCGGCACGGGCCAGGGACCGGCUGCAGUGAUCAUAUGCUGGAGCGUCACUGGGACAGAGAGAGCAGGAUGAGGACAGCGUGGGUGACACCUUUGUCUCCUGCUAAAACCCAGCAAGUUUCAGUGUGGACCGUGAAUUUUUAAAAAAUGGAAUGGAGGUGAAAACUUUCAUUUUGUGUUGCACAUCAGUGUGGAUCAAAAUAGGAGUACACUGAGGAACAGGUGAGAUUGUCAGUGUA